GAUUUCGAGACAAAAGUUUGUUAUCUUAUAAAUAUUAGGAAAGAUGGCUCCGGUGAAGUUCGGCCUGUUCAAAGCUCGGAGCAGGGACUACCAGGAGCAGCCUUCCACUGAGAACUUGCUGCACACCAGUUAUAGCACAGACCAUGUGGGCACGCCGCAGUCUCCUAUACCUUCAACCAGUAAAGGUAUAACGGAAGAGCGGC